GCUGUUUCAUCUUAUGUUUACAUGUCAAAGACAUGAUUCCUUGGUCCUUAAGAAAUACAUUUCCUGGGUUGUGAUCUAUAGGCUGGGAGAAGAUUUACAUCACUCCAAAGAGACAGAGAAAGAAUUUAUAAUUACAAGUUUAAGGAAGUUAAUGUUUUAAGAAAAGGGAGGUCAGGGGCCUCAAGUCAGGCAGACUCUAAAUCUUCGUCAAGCAGGAUGAAACAGUGAGGCCAUCUUGGUCAGUGACAAGAGGAGGGAAAACAUAGCACUGAAAAAGCUGCUAUGGAACAGUAUUUUAAAGGAAGAAAGGCCACAUCUAAAGGAAGAGGAAGUGGUCCAAGGCUGAAGUGGGGCUCUGCCCAAAGCAAGCUGACGAGUUUCACCUCAGGACUGGUAAACAGAGCCUCUGGCCAAAGCGGAAAGCCUGAGCUGGGCCGAGGAUGCCCAUUAGCUACAGGAAACCAGAGGGUGAAGUGCCUUGACACCUGUGAUGAAGAGUGUUCAUCUGGCUUGAGAGGCUAGAACAACUGUAGCAGGUAAACAUCUGAAUAAGGAAAUGAAUAUGCCACCAUAAUGAUGCUGCCAGGUCUGUACAGUUGUGCGUGAAGUGAACCAAUACUGAAAAUGCUCUUUGAAGCUUUGAACAAAUAUGAAACAAAAUGUCUUGAAGGACUAAAAAUUAACUUGCAGGAUUAUUUUAAUCAGCCAGUUCUCCCCAUGAGGAAGAGCCAUAAGAACAUCUAUCUGGCCCUUCGUGAAAACAAGUCGAAGAAAUCCAAAGGGAAAGCUGAAUGAAGCACUCGGAGUCACACAUAAAAUAAGGGGACAAUCUAGUGUCAUUUGCACUUUUCCACUACAGAGCUGACCCACCCAGUCCCCCCUGGCCUAUGGUGCACCUCCAGGAGCUGAGCAGAGAGCUGGACAGAAGAGGGCAUUUGUGUUGAUCUGUGGUUUGAAGUUCAGACAAGAGUAACAAAAGAUAACAACCAUCACCAACAUCUAUCACUUUCGGGCAGGCUCUGGUUAGAGCCAGUGAUUGCUCAUAGAUACUAUUGGUCAAGACUACCAUUUUGCCUCUCCAGCUGAUCCAGAUGUUGUUCUGCUGAAACUGAGUGAUUCUCUCUUUCCAAAGUGCUGUCUUCUUUUGGUUAGGACCCUUGCGUACUUUUCAAACAGAAGCCGAAUAAUGAGAAGUCUCUGCAGAGCUUUCUGUGUCAGAAGUUCUUAUUCUCUAACCAAAAAGGGGAAUUAUUUAUGCAAGGUUCAGGUACACAGUAACAUGCACUACUCUGGCAACAGUCCCAACUUGUCCCCCAGCAGAGAGCCUUUGGGAUAUUUAAUUUGCUUUUCACAUGCAAUGGAAAAAUUGAAGGUCCCCCCCCCCUUGCAUUUUCUUCCUUCAAUGAAAGUAUCGGUCUGAAAAGAAGAAAAAUAAAACCUAUAGGUAGAAAAUGAAAACA
rnacentral:lncRNA from 1 species